UUCCGGUUGAUCCUGCCGGACCUGACUGCUAUCGGAUUGAUACUAAGCCAUGCGAGUCUUUGUAGCAAUACAAGGCAUACGGCUCAGUAACGCGUAGUCAACCUAACCUAUGGACGGGAAUAACCUCGGGAAACUGAGAAUAAUGCCCGAUAGAACACUAUACCUGGAAUGGUUUGUGUUCCAAAUGAUUUAUCGCCGUAGGAUGGGACUGCGGCCUAUCAGUUUGUUGGUGAGGUAAUGGCCCACCAAGACUAUUACAGGUACGGGCUCUGAGAGGAGUAGCCCGGAGAUGGGUACUGAGACACGGACCCAGGCCCUAUGGGGCGCAGCAGGCGAGAAAACUUUGCAAUGUGCGAAAGCACGACAAGGUUAAUCCGAGUGGUUUCUGCUAAAGGAACCUUUUGUUAGUCAUAGAACCACUAACGAAUAAGGGGUGGGCAAGUUCUGGUGUCAGCCGCCGCGGUAAAACCAGCACCUCAAGUGGUCAGGAUGAUUAUUGGGCCUAAAGCAUCCGUAGCCGGCUCUGUAAGUUUUCGGUUAAAUCUGUACGCUCAACGUACAGGCUGCCGGGAAUACUGCAGAGCUAGGGAGUGGGAGAGGUAGACGGUACUCGGUAGGAAGUGGUAAAAUGCUUUGAUCUAUCGAUGACCACCUGUGGCGAAGGCGGUCUACCAGAACACGUCCGACGGUGAGGGAUGAAAGCUGGGGGAGCAAACCGGAUUAGAUACCCGGGUAGUCCCAGCUGUAAACUAUGCAAACUCAGUGAUGCAUUGGCUUGUGGCCAAUGCAGUGCUGCAGGGAAGCCGUUAAGUUUGCCGCCUGGGAAGUACGUACGCAAGUAUGAAACUUAAAGGAAUUGGCGGGGGAGCACCACAAGGGGUGAAGCCUGCGGUUCAAUUGGAGUCAACGCCGG
rnacentral:rRNA from 1 species